rnacentral:rRNA from 1 species
CCUACGGGAGGCAGCAGUGGGGAAUCUUAGACAAUGGGCGCAAGCCUGAUCUAGCCAUGCCGCGUGAGUGACGAAGGCCUUAGGGUCGUAAAGCUCUUUCGCCUGUGAUGAUAAUGACAGUAGCAGGUAAAGAAACCCCGGCUAACUCCGUGCCAGCAGCCGCGGUAAUACGGAGGGGGUUAGCGUUGUUCGGAAUUACUGGGCGUAAAGCGCACGUAGGCGGAUUGGAAAGUAUGGGGUGAAAUCCCAGGGCUCAACCCUGGAACGGCCUCAUAAACUCCCAGUCUGGAGUUCGAGAGAGGUGAGUGGAAUUCCGAGUGUAGAGGUGAAAUUCGUAGAUAUUCGGAGGAACACCAGUGGCGAAGGCGGCUCACUGGCUCGAUACUGACGCUGAGGUGCGAAAGUGUGGGGAGCAAACAGGAUUAGAUACCCUGGUAGUCCACACCGUAAACGAUGAAUGCCAGUCGUCGGCAAGCAUGCUUGUCGGUGACACACCUAACGGAUUAAGCAUUCCGCCUGGGGAGUACGGUCGCAAGAUUAAAACUCAAAUGAAUGACGAAUCUCGACCUGCGGCCCCCCGCGC